rnacentral:misc_RNA from 1 species
GAUGAAGAACGUAGCGAAAUGCGAUAAGUAAUGUGAAUUGCAGAAUUCAGUGAAUCAUCGAAUCUUUGAACGCACAUUGCGCCCGCCAGUAUUCUGGCGGGCAUGCCUGUUCGAGCGUCAUUGCAACCCUCAGGCCCCCGGGCCUGGCGUUGGGGAUCGGCGGAGCCCCCCGUGGGCACACGCCGUCCCCCAAAUACAGUGGCGGUCCCGCCGCAGCUUCCAUCGCGUAGUAGCUAACACCUCGCGACUGGAGAGCGGCGCGGCCACGCCGUAAAACACCCAACUCUUCUGAAGUUGACCUCGAAUCAGGUAGGAAUACCCGCUGAACUUAAGCAUAUCAAUAAGCGGAGGA